rnacentral:rRNA from 1 species
CGGUCCUUCACCUUUCGGGGUGAAGGAUAGUGGCAAAUGGGUGAGUAACGCGUAAGUAACCUGCCCUUAAGUAGGGGAUAACUCUGAGAAAUUGGAGCUAAUACCUUAUGUGGUGAUGGAGGUAAUGCUUCAUCACUAAAGCCUUAGGGUGCUUGAGGAUGGGCUUGCGUCCGAUUAGCUAGUUGGUAGGGUAAUGGCUUACCAAGGCAAUGAUCGGUAGCUGGUUUGAGAGGAUGGUCAGCCACACUGGGAUUGAGAUACGGCCCAGACUCCUACGGGAGGCAGCAGCAAGGAAUAUUGUGCAAUGGGCGAAAGCCUGACACAGCGACGUCGCGUGGGGGAUGAAGGCUUUCGGGUCGUAAACCCCUUUUCUCAGGGAAGAAUAAUGACGGUACCUGGGGAAUAAGUCACGGCUAACUACGUGCCAGCAGCCGCGGUAAUACGUAGGUGGCAAGCGUUAUCCGGAUUUACUGGGUGUAAAGGGGGUGCAGGCGGCUUUUCAAGUCGGAUAUAAAAUCUCCCGGCUUAACUGGGAGGGACUAUUCGAUACUGUUGGGCUAGAGGGCAGCAGGGGGAGGUGGAAUUCCCGGUGUAGUGGUGAAAUGCGUAGAUAUCGGGAGGAACACCAGUGGCGAAGGCGGCCUCCUGGGCUGUUGCUGACGCUGAGGCCCGAAGGCGUGGGGAGCAAACAGGAUUAGAUACCCUGGUAGUCCACGCUAUAAACUAUGGACACUAGGUAUAGGGAGUAUCGAACCUCUUUGUGCCGAAGCUAACGCUUUAAGUGUCCCACCUGGGGAGUACGGCCGCAAGGCU